AUUGAACGCUGGCGGCAGGCCUAACACAUGCAAGUCGAGCGGUAACAGGGAUAGCUUGCUAUCUGCUGACGAGCGGCGGACGGGUGAGUAACGCGUAGGAAUCUACCUAGUAGUGGGGGAUAAGCCAGAGAAAUUUGGUCUAAUACCGCAUACGUCCUAAGGGAGAAAGGAGGGGAUCUUCGGACCUUUCGCUAUUAGAUGAGCCUGCGUAAGAUUAGCUAGUUGGUGAGGUAAGAGCUCACCAAGGCGACGAUCUUUAGCUGGUCUGAGAGGAUGAUCAGCCACACUGGGACUGAGACACGGCCCAGACUCCUACGGGAGGCAGCAGUGGGGAAUAUUGGACAAUGGGGGCAACCCUGAUCCAGCCAUGCCGCGUGUGUGAAGAAGGCCUUCGGGUUGUAAAGCACUUUCAGAUGUGAGGAAAGGUGAGUAGUUAAUACCUGCUUACUGUGACGUUAACAUCAGAAGAAGGACCGGCUAACUCCGUGCCAGCAGCCGCGGUAAUACGGAGGGUCCGAGCGUUAAUCGGAAUUACUGGGCGUAAAGCGCGCGUAGGUGGUUUCGUCAGUCAGAUGUGAAAGCCCAGGGCUCAACCUUGGAACUGCACCUGAUACUGCGGAACUAGAGUACGAUAGAGGGGAGUGGAAUUUCCGGUGUAGCGGUGAAAUGCGUAGAGAUCGGAAGGAACACCAGUGGCGAAGGCGAC
rnacentral:rRNA from 1 species